rnacentral:rRNA from 1 species
AUUGAACGCUGGCGGCAGGCCUAACACAUGCAAGUCGAACGAGUGGCGGACGGGUGAGUAAUGUCUGGGAAACUGCCUGAUGGAGGGGGAUAACUACUGGAAACGGUAGCUAAUACCGCAUACCAUCGGAUGUGCCAAGGUGGGAUUAGCUAGUAGGUGGGGUAACGGCUCACCAAGGCGACGAUCCCUAGCUGGUCUGAGAGGAUGACCGGCCAAACUGGAACUGAGACACGGUCCAGACUCCUACGGGAGGCAGCAGUGGGGAAUAUUGCGCAAUGGGCGCAAGCCUGAUGCAGCCACGCCGCGUGAAUGAAGAAGGCCUUCGGGUUGUAAAGUACUGUCAGCGGGGAGGCGUUACUCGAAGAAGAAGCACCGGCUAACUCCGUGCCAGCAGCCGCGGUAAUUC